GAUGAACGCUGGCGGCGUGCCUAAUACAUGCAAGUCGAGCGAACGGACGAGAAGCUUGCUUCUCUGAUGUUAGCGGCGGACGGGUGAGUAACACGUGGAUAACCUACCUAUAAGACUGGGAUAACUUCGGGAAACCGGAGCUAAUACCGGAUAAUAUUUUGAACCGCAUGGUUCAAAAGUAAAAGACGGUCUUGCUGUCACUUAUAGAUGGAUCCGCGCUGCAUUAGCUAGUUGGUAAGGUAACGGCUUACCAAGGCAACGAUGCAUAGCCGACCUGAGAGGGUGAUCGGCCACACUGGAACUGAGACACGGUCCAGACUACUACGGGAGGCAGCAGUAGGGAAUCUUCCGCAAUGGGCGAAAGCCUGACGGAGCAACGCCGCGUGAGUGAUGAAGGUCUUCGGAUCGUAAAACUCUGUUAUUAGGGAAGAACAUAUGUGUAAGUAACUGUGCACAUCUUGGCGGUACCUAAUCAGAAAGCCACGGCUAACUACGUG
rnacentral:rRNA from 1 species